AUGCUGUCCCCAGGCUGCAGCCGCCUGAGGGGACUCGCCCGGGGCCCCGCCCUCAGAGCUCACACCCGCCGUGCGCUCUCGCCGCGGGGCCGCCCCCCCACCCUCCCGCGCGGCUCUGCGCGCACAGGCCGGAAGCUCGGAGACGGCGCCAGGCCGCCCUGGUCGGCCUCCUGGGCGCAGUGGUGCCUCUGGACCGAGCACGCGCACCAGCGGCCUCCGCGCAGGCUCCGUGCCCGCGCACGCGCCCUCGCGUCGCGCUCCUGGCGGAGAGACCUGCGCUCGGGCCGGGCUCCGGGCGGUUCUCGCGGUGCCGUUCUCCCGGGACUUCCGCGCUUCGGCGGCCUUUCUGAUGAGCCGCCGCGCCCGGAGAUGUUUAGGUUGGAGCGACACUUCCCAGAGAGCAGCGGUCACUCCAGAUCUUCGGCUUCCAUUCCGUGUUCGCGCGGUUCUCCCUCUUUGCAAGGUGACAGAUGAUCUGCAUCUUGCUUUGCCAUCCAAUUAGAGCUUGGAAAAGGGAUUGAGUUCCUCCCUAGAGGAGACAUCAGAGUCUAGAGCUGUUGGCUGCCGUGUCUUCCUUACUGUGAAGGAAGCUGAUCUGUCGUGUGAAGGAACAGAGUCAACAUACAGAAGGAAGUGGACUUGAGUAGGAGACAAGGAGAGAAGCUGAUGGUGUGUGAGAACCUGGUCUCAGCCAUCCUCAAAGCUCAGCUGCACACAACCUUUCCAGCUGUGUCCUGUCCUGCUUGUGGUUUGUUCAUAUGAGCACUUGCAUUCCUCUAAGCUAGUUUAGUUGUGUUUCUGUUCUUGCAAGUAAACAACUCCACGUUAAUAUACCACUGGAAAAUUAAGUGGAUUUUAGUAUUCCUAUAUGCCAAAAGUGUAGUUUGGGUGUCUCGAGCAGGUGCCUAAAUUGAUAUCACAGAUUUAAAAAGGGUUUGAAAACCAUAUGCCUUAUCAUCUUAAAGUUGUUCUCAAUGCAUGUUUUCAUUAGAUCAAAUUAUACAGUGUUGGAAUUCAGAGUUACUGUUGCAUAGGUAGUCAGGUAUUAGUAAUUCUGAUGACAUAACUUUAUCUCUCUAUAUAAAUUUUUUACAAGUUAUUUCUUUAAAUCUUGCCCUGUGUCUUUCUAACAAGUCGCACUGACAUUGAAUCAGAAGGAAUAUUGAGUUGCAAUUUUAAAUAUCACUCAUCUUCAGCCAGGGACUCACUGAACUGAGAUAGAUGGUAUCUGGACAUUGUAAAUUCACCUCUAGACUCUUCCAACAGGGCUGGUUUUUCUGCCACAAGCUUGUACCUCCUCCAAUUAAACCUGCUACUGCCAGAACAUUAAUCUUUUUAAACCUCAUUCACUCAUCCAUGUGUUCAUUCAUUUGCUCAGUAAUUCACAUGUCAAGUUUUUAUUGUGUGCCUAUGUGUGACCAUUACUCUGAUUGAUGUUGGGAAUGCUUAGAUUCAAGGAAUAUAGCAGCAGCCC
rnacentral:lncRNA from 1 species